UACGUAGGGGGCUAGCGUUGUCCGGAAUCAUUGGGCGUAAAGCGCGUGUAGGCGGCCCGAUAAGUCCGCUGUGAAAGUCCAGGGCUCAACCCUGGGAUGCCGGUGGAUACUGUCGGGCUCGAGUCCGGAAGAGGCGAGUGGAAUUCCUGGUGUAGCGGUGGAAUGCGCAGAUAUCAGGAGGAACACCAAUAGCGAAGGCAGCUCGCUGGGACGUUACUGACACUGAGGCGCGAAAGCGUGGGGAGCGAACAGG
rnacentral:rRNA from 1 species